UCUUCUGUAGUAAAGUGGUCAGUACUUGUGACGCUUGAGACCCGGGCUCAAUUCCCGGCGGGAGAG
rnacentral:tRNA from 1 species